rnacentral:ncRNA from 1 species
CAACAGUUUUGGUCCUGGGCUAACCGUUGUUUUUUAUUAAGUUUAUACAUGCAAGUUUCAACACACCAGUGAAAAUGCCCACAAUCCCUAAAAAGAAAAGUGGAGCAGACAUUAGGCACCACUAAUCUGAGCCCAUAACGUCUUGCUACGCCACACCCCCACGGGUAAUCAGCAGUAAUAAAUAUUGAACCAUAAGUGAAAACUUGAUUCAACUAUAAUUCUAAUGAGGGCUGGUUAAUUUCGUGCCAGCCACCGCGGUUAUACGAAAAGCCCAAAACAACGACUAACGGCGUAAAAUGUGACUAGAGAUGCACCUAUUAAAAGUACUUAAACUUGCCACCCAGCUGUAAAACACUCAAGAGGUAAAGAAAACCAACAAAAGUGCUUUUAAUAUAGUACCCUUGAAUUCACGAAAGCUUAGAAACAAACUAGGAUUAGAUACCCUACUAUGCUAAGCAUUAAACAUUGAGAAACAUUAUACAACACCCUCCGCCAGAGAACUACAAAUGAAAAAUUUGAAACUCAAAGGACUUGACGGUGUCCCACACCAACCUAGAGGAGCCUGUCCUGUAAUCGAUAACCCUCGCUCUACCCAACCUUAACUAGCAUUUCUCAGCCUAUAUACCGCCGUCGACAGCUCACCCCAUGAGGGUUUAAUAGUAAACACAAUAGCCUAUCACUAAUACGCCAGGUCAAGGUGUAGCAAAUGUUAAGGAAGAGAUUGGCUACAUUUUUUAAACUUAAAAAAUACGGAAAGUACUAUGAAAUGGUACAUGAAGGUGGAUUUAGAAGUAAAAUAAAUUAGAGACUUUAUUUUAACACUGCUCUGGGACGCGUACACACCGCCCGUCACCCUCCUUGAUAAAACCAAAAUAUAUAUAUAUAAACAAACCAACCUAAACUAAAGGAGGUAAGUCGUAACAUGGUAAGCGUACCGGAAGGUGUGCUUGGAUUAA